UAUAAUAUCCAUGUGGUAUGGUGGUAAAAAUGGUAGCGGCAUUUUACCUUGGAAUCGAAAUAUCAACUCCCACGGCGUUAAUUAUACGUGAUCUUUCAUUUGACCUGACUUUUUAUUUGAUAAAGCUUAGAAGCUUGCCACGGUUUUUGUUAUUUUAAAGAUUUUCGUCAAAUUUUCAGAAUUAUCGUGAAUAAUCGGCGCAUCCCUAUGUUUUUGUUUUAUAUCUUCUUUGGAGAUAUUUUAAUUAGAACACCACAACCCUUAGUUGAGCGAUUUUAAUUAGCAAGUUGAAAUGGCAGUGGGCUGGUCACAUGUAUCGUAGGACCGACGGCCGUUAGAGCAGAUGUGUCCUGGGAAUGGAGACUACGUGUUGGAAGACGCAGUGUGGGAUAUCUUCCGGCCAACUGGACAAAGAUCUAUGUAAGAUUACCAAAAACCGGGAUAUAUGGUGCGAACUUGGGGAGGCCUAAAUCCAUCCAGCAGUGAACUACAAUAGGCUGAAUUAAUUGACUUAACCCUUAGUUUACUGUUGCUUUCAUAGCAUCUGUAAUUUUAACUGAAUGUAAAUUAAACUCGAUAAUAGCGAAUUAUUGUAUGAAUACAUGUCAUUUAAAAAAAACUUACAAUUUGUCUAAAUAUUUCUUCUCCACCUUUUUCAGAUUUCGUUUAAUAUAUAUUUUCAGUUAUCAGUAUUGCAAGGUUUACGUCACAGUGUUCUAACGACCCAUUUGCAAUUGAAAGCGUCCUUUAUAACGGAGAAUGUCCGGUUGUACUUUUACGAUCGAGUGUACAAUUGCACAUGCAAGCUCGAUUGUUUGGAUAUAAUAAAAUUGAAAAUGGUAUUUUAUCGUUAAAACUGUAUACAUAACUGCUGACAUCGCUGAACGUUUCAAUUGAAAUAAAUAUUUAGUACAUUUACUUUAAUUUAUAAUAUAUUUUCUCUUCGAAUCCAAAGCGAAACACCUACUUAUUUUGAUAAACGAUGUAUCGUUAGUCUUUAAGGCGCGUGUUGCUGUUAGUGUGUUCUGUACAAUA
rnacentral:misc_RNA from 1 species